GCAAACUUGGUCAUUUAGAGGAAGUAAAAGUCGUAACAAGGUCUCCGUAGGUGAACCUGCGGAGGGAUCAUUAACGAAUGGUCAUCCUUGAUCUUCUUACCCUCAAACCACUGUGGAACAAAACAUGUGCUUCGGCGUCUAAUUGGCGUCGCUUUUAUGCUUCAACAAUGCCCUUUGUGUCUGACAAAUCAAAACAUCAAAACUUUCAACAAAGGAUCUCUUGGCUCUCGCAUCGAUGAAGAACGCAGC
rnacentral:misc_RNA from 1 species